ensembl:lncRNA
CAGAAACAUAACAAUUUUCAAAGCACUUCUUAGAUUGUAGAGGAAGAUUCCACUGAUGAAGAAGAAAAUGUUGGGAAUUCCCUGGCAGUUCAGUGAUUAGGAUUCUGCACUUUCACUGCCUAGAGCUCAGGUUCAAUCCCUGGUGGAGGAUCUAAGAUCCCACAAGUUACGUGGUGCAGCCAAAGGGUAUCAUACUUACUACAUCACUGUGUAAUUACUUUUUUCUCCGUCUAUCUUUCCCACCAUAUGAUGAAUCCUAGAGAAGAAAUCGUGUCUUUUUCAGUAGACUUGAUUUACCAGCAUAUAGCCCAAUGCCUGACAGAUGGCUGCUUGGAGAAAGGAAAACUGAGGACGUGCCUGGUGACUACUGUGGACUGUGAAAACGCCAUGGGCUGUUUAGCAGAGAAUGUCAUGGCUGCUCUCAUCUGCUGCUGGAGGGAAGAAACCACCGACAGAGCACUCCUUGAAUAAUGAAAGUAGUUAGGACAGCUGGAUGAAUUUCUGGGUGAAUCAACAGACAUCUGUUGAGCCACGGCUCUAUGCAGAAAGUUGAGUCUCUAGAGACGAGGUACAGUCUUUAGCAGGAUUUUCUGAAUUUUUGAAAGAUCAGAUGUAGUUGAGCAUUACACUACAAAAUAUAAUUUCUCCCAUCUUCAUGAUCCUGUGAUUUGGUUAGUGGCAAGUAGCCUCAGCUUUCUUUAGCAGAACCAUCUGUAACAUAAGGACCUUGUUAUAAUAAAAACAGAGCACAUCUUUUGUGUUAAUCUCUAUAAAUAAUUCCAAAAUCCUUUCAAGAGAGAUAAUAAUUGGGUGGAAAACUUCUUUAAGCUUUGUAUCAGGCCCUAACAGGUAGGAGAAUUAUCAUUAGUGGGAAAGAAGCCAGUUAGAUGUCGUGUCACAAAUAACACCGUGACCUAGAAGCAAUUAUUAUAGACCUAAAGAGCGAAAUGAAAUAACACUGAAAAAUGAGACUUGCUUUCAACCACAUUCUAGAGGCGAAAUUGCACUUUUUAGAGAUUUUAAUUAUGUAACAAGCUGUCUAUCAGUUGGGCAAAAGAGUGAGUUUGAAUCACCAAAUAUUUUGAUUUGUGGAUAGAUGCCAGGACACAUUUUCUUUCACUGGGAUGGAAGGUGAAGUCGCUCAGUUGUGUGCAACUCUUUGAGACCCCAUAAACUGUAGCCUCAGAGAAGGCGAUGGCACCCCACUCCAGUACUCUUGCCUGGAAAAUCCCAUGGACGGAGGAGCCUGGUAGGCUGAAGUCCAUGGGGUCACAAAGAGUCAGACAUGACUGAGCAACUUGCACUCAUACAUACAUAUACAAUGAAUAUAUAUAUAUAUAUAUUCUUUUCCAUUGUGGUUUAUCACAGGAUACUUUAUAUAGCUCUCUGUGCUGUACAGUAGUUCCUUGUUGUUUAUCCAUUCCAUACAUAAUAGCUUACAUUUGCUAACCCUGACUUCCCACUCCAUCCCAUCUCCACCCCACUCCUCCUUGGCAACUACAGUCUGUUCUCUAUGUCCUUGGGUCUGUUUCUGUUUCAUAUGCAUGCAGUGUUUUAAAUGAUAUUUAUUCUUCUCUUUUCCUUACUUAAAAAUCCCCAAAUUCUCCUUGACUAAAAUUUAAAAAUCAUUGUAACUGGACUAAUCCAGAAACAUAACAAUUUUCAAAGCACUUCUUAGAUUGUAGAGGAAGAUUCCACUGAUGAAGAAGAAAAUGUUGGGAAUUCCCUGGCAGUUCAGUGAUUAGGAUUCUGCACUUUCACUGCCUAGAGCUCAGGUUCAAUCCCUGGUGGAGGAUCUAAGAUCCCACAAGUUACGUGGUGCAGCCAAAGGGUAUCAUACUUACUACAUCACUGUGUAAUUACUUUUUUCUCCGUCUAUCUUUCCCACCAUAUGAUGAAUCCUAGAGAAGAAAUCGUGUCUUUUUCAGUAGACUUGAUUUACCAGCAUAUAGCCCAAUGCCUGACAGAUGGUAAGUGCUUAAUAACUAUAAAAUUGAUAGACUAAUGAAUGUUUUAAAUGAUUUUAUUUACCUGUACUUUUUACAGAGUAAUAUCAGUCUAAAGAAUUGAGUCCUAAAAAAAAAAAAAAAGAAUUGAGUUCUGUUUUGUGUUCAGUUGUGUGCAACUCUUUGAGACCCCAUAAACUGUAGCCUCAGAGAAGGCGAUGGCACCCCACUCCAGUACUCUUGCCUGGAAAAUCCCAUGGACGGAGGAGCCUGGUAGGCUGAAGUCCAUGGGGUCACAAAGAGUCGAACACGACUGAGCGACUUCCCUUUCACUUUUCACUUUCAUGCAUUGGAGAAGGAAAUGGCAACCCACUCCAGUGUUCUUGCCUGGAGAAUCCCAGGGAUGGGAGAGCCUGGUGGGCUGCUGUCUAUGGGGUCGCACAGAGUCAGACACGACUGAAGUGACUUAGCAAAACUGUAGCCUGCCAGGUUCCUCCAUCCUUGGGAUUUUCCAUGCAAGAAUAGUGGAGUGGAUUGCCAUUUCCUUCUCUGGGGGAUCUUCCAGCCCAGGUAUGGAACCCAGGUCUCCCACGCUGCAGGCAGACUCUUUACCAUCUGAGCCACCAGGAAACCCUCUUCCCACCACGGAAACAUCUUCUUUCAUUAAUUUGUAUUUAUUUAUUUUGGGGAAUCCCCUGGUGAUCCAGUGGCUAGGACUCUGUGCUUUCCACUCUUGAAGGUGCAGGUUCGACACCUGGUCAGGGAGCUAAGAUCCCACAAACUGAUAAUUAUGUGACAACCUGGCUAUUAGUUGAACAAAAGAGUGAAUUUGAAUCACCAGGUGUGUAUUUUGAUUUGUGAGUAGGUGCCAAUGGCAACCCACUCCAGUACUCUU